GACGAACGCUGGCGGCGUGCCUAAUACAUGCAAGUAGAACGCUGAAGAGCGGAGCUUGCUCUUCUUUGAUGAGUUGCGAACGGGUGAGUAACGCGUAGGUAACCUGCCUUAUAGCGGGGGAUAACUAUUGGAAACGAUAGCUAAUACCGCAUAACAAUCGAUGACACAUGUCAUUUAUUUGAAAGGGGCAAUUUCUCCACUACAAGAUGGACCUGCGUUGUAUUAGGUAGUAGGUGAGGUAAUGGCUCACCUAGGCGACGAUACAUAGCCGACCUGAGAGGAUGGUCAGCCAGCCUGGGACGGAGACACGGCCCAGACGCAUACGGGAGGCAGCAGGAGGGAAUCGUCGGCCAUGGGGGCAACCCUGACCGAGCAACGCCGCGUGAGUGAAGAAGGUUUUCGGAUCGUAAAGCUCGGUUGUAAGUCAAGAACGGGUGUGAGAGUGGAAAGUUCACACUGUGACGGUAGCUUACCAGAAAGGGACGGCUAACUACGUG
rnacentral:rRNA from 1 species